GAUGGGAGCUUGCUCCCUGAUGUUAGCGGCGGACGGGUGAGUAACACGUGGGUAACCUGCCUGUAAGACUGGGAUAACUCCGGGAAACCGGGGCUAAUACCGGAUGGUUGUCUGAACCGCAUGGUUCAGACAUAAAAGGUGGCUUCGGCUACCACUUACAGAUGGACCCGCGGCGCAUUAGCUAGUUGGUGAGGUAACGGCUCACCAAGGCGACGAUGCGUAGCCGACCUGAGAGGGUGAUCGGCCACACUGGGACUGAGACACGGCCCAGACUCCUACGGGAGGCAGCAGUAGGGAAUCUUCCGCAAUGGACGAAAGUCUGACGGAGCAACGCCGCGUGAGUGAUGAAGGUUUUCGGAUCGUAAAGCUCUGUUGUUAGGGAAGAACAAGUGCCGUUCAAAUAGGGCGGCACCUUGACGGUACCUAACCAGAAAGCCACGGCUAACUACGUGCCAGCAGCCGCGGUAAUACGUAGGUGGCAAGCGUUGUCCGGAAUUAUUGGGCGUAAAGGGCUCGCAGGCGGUUUCUUAAGUCUGAUGUGAAAGCCCCCGGCUCAACCGGGGAGGGUCAUUGGAAACUGGGGAACUUGAGUGCAGAAGAGGAGAGUGGAAUUCCACGUGUAGCGGUGAAAUGCGUAGAGAUGUGGAGGAACACCAGUGGCGAAGGCGACUCUCUGGUCUGUAACUGACGCUGAGGAGCGAAAGCGUGGGGAGCGAACAGGAUUAGAUACCCUGGUAGUCCACGCCGUAAACGAUGAGUGCUAAGUGUUAGGGGGUUUCCGCCCCUUAGUGCUGCAGCUAACGCAUUAAGCACUCCGCCUGGGGAGUACGGUCGCAAGACUGAAACUCAAAGGAAUUGACGGGGGCCCGCACAAGCGG
rnacentral:rRNA from 1 species